UACGAAGGGUGCAAGCGUUACUCGGAAUUACUGGGCGUAAAGCGUGCGUAGGCGGUUUGUUAAGUCUGUCGUGAAAGCCCCGGGCUCAACCUGGGAAUGGCGAUGGAUGCUGGCGAGCUAGAGUACGGUAGAGGAGAGUGGAAUUCCCGGUGUAGCAGUGAAAUGCGUAGAGAUCGGGAGGAACAUCAGUUGCGAAGGCGGCUCUCUGGACCAGUACUGACGCUGAGGCACGAAAGCGUGGGGAGCAAGCAGG
rnacentral:rRNA from 1 species